rnacentral:lncRNA from 1 species
UCAAUAUUCAAUAUAUUUCACUCUAUAAUCGCAUUAUUAGGCUGUAUAAGAUUCAUGUUAGAAUUCGGGUUAGUGGAAUUGUAUAUAGAGUAACUUCUUAUGUUUGGAGAGGAAAAAACUAUAGCCAAAACCAUUAAAUAUUUAUAUAAUUAUAGCUACAUUUUAUUUUCCCAUGCAACGGUUUAAAAAUGAUACAAUGAUCGUUGAUUGUGAUUUCUAUUUUUAAAUGAAGUUUCACCAAAAAUAUUUUAUCAACUAAACAAAUUAAAACAAUGAGGGUCAUGCUAGUACUACAGAAGCACAGCUGAAAGUCAUAGCCAGGACAUGAUCAAGAGCUUCCCCACGCUUUGUAUUAAUAAGGAGUUUACGAUCUGCGUCGCCGCUGCUUGACGACGCACCUUCGAAACAGAUAGAUUCUUUGGUGCAAAUCGAAUAAUUUGUGGUCCCAUGGGCAUUCGCAACCGCGUUGUCAUUCUCAACACAACGGUAAACACGUUGCGGCUUCCUGGCGACGUGAAAGCUUGGUGCGAAUUGAGAGGUGUUAUUUAAGUCAACCAUAUCAUAGACAUGACAUCGUUUUAGCCGAAUGUAGCUGACAGUAAAGCUAUUUAAACAAUUAUUUGCCUGUUUUUUAUCCUGCAUUUAUAUCAGUAUUCAUGAUGUAAAACUCUCAGUCUCAAGUGUUUGUUCGAAGAUAGGUCCAGCGAGCUACAGUUGUGGCAAACCAGGCCAAGGUGAUAUUACGACGCUGACAGAUCGCCUCAUCGUUCUGUCACAAGCAUUAAUGAUGUCUGUGUGUUUAGAAUUGUGAAAAUACUUUAAGGCAUCCAACAAUUUAUUUG